rnacentral:misc_RNA from 1 species
GAUGAAGAACGUAGCGAAAUGCGAUAAGUAAUGUGAAUUGCAGAAUUCAGUGAAUCAUCGAGUCUUUGAACGCACAUUGCGCCCCCUGGUGUUCCGGGGGGCAUGCCUGUCCGAGCGUCAUUGCUGCCCUCAAGCACGGCUUGUGUGUUGGGCCUCCGUCCUCCUCCCGGGGGACGGGCCCGAAAGGCAGCGGCGGCACCGCGUCCGGUCCUCGAGCGUAUGGGGCUUCGUCACCCGCUCUUGUAGGCCCGGCCGGCGCUUGCCGACACAUCAAUCUUUUUUCCAGGUUGACCUCGGAUCAGGUAGGGAUACCCGCUGAACUUAAGCAUAUCAAUAAGCGGAGGA